rnacentral:lncRNA from 1 species
UUAAUGCAAUAGUUUAAUGCAAUGUUAUAGGUAAUAAACAAAUCAAUAAGUUAAACUAGAUCUGCUACAUCACGUUGUGUUAAGAGUAGUUAAACAAGAUUAAAGUAAAAUUCACACAAUAAGUAAUGUUGAAAAUAGUAAAAAUUAUAUAAAUGCGACUUUGAAAAUGCAAUAAACUUUAGUUAGGAUUGAUAUUGCCAUAAGCCUUGGAGAAUAAAGCUGAUAUCGAAAAUUUAUAUCAGAUAUAUUGAAAUCUUUCAACACAUUUCACAACUCCUACUUCUAAAAUUAAAAGCUUAUAGAAUAAAUGACUAACUCUACAAUUGGAUUUUGAUGUUACCUAAGAGAUCGGCAUUAGAGUAUCAUUGUUGGUGGUACAUACUCAGAAUGGAUAAUAGUAAAUAUUGGGGUCCCCCAUUAUUAACUUUUAUGAUAUAUAAUAAAGAUUUUUCUGAUUUGGUUUUAGAUGUUGUAUCUGUAUUUACAGAUGAUACUAAGUUAUACAGUUUGCUUUUUGAUAGCUCACCAUGCAAUAACCUGCAAUAAAGUAUGGACAUUAUAGCAAACUAGGAAAAACUAUGAAAACUAAGUUUUAAUGUGAAAAAAUGUAAAGUUAUACCCUUAGGACCAACAAAUACAAAUUUUUCCCUAAGGACCAACGAUGCCCAUAGGACCAACAAAUACAAAAUUGAUUUAUAUACUCGUUUAUAAAAAUCUCAAUACUUCUAUUAAUAUUAAAAACUCUCUCGUCAAUAAAGGGAUCUUCAUUGACAGUAAUUUGACUUAAAUUAACACCGAUAAUAAAGUUGUAGGAAUGAUCAAAAGAUCAUUUGUCAAUCUCAAUAUCUUGACAUUUCGUACUUUGUUUAUUUUCCUUGUUCGUCCUCACCUUGAUUCUUGCAGCUCUGUCUACUAUCCUAGACUUUAAAAAGAUCAACAAUUAAUUUAAAUGUUCUAUGCUAGUCUAGUAAAUUUGUUUUUGGCCAGACUCGACUCACUUGCAACCAAACACUACAAGACUAAAUUUAACUAGCAUGAGCUAUCGUUUCUUAUGUAAUGACAUGGCAGAAACUUACAAAUGCAUUCACAAUCUUUAUAAUUGUAGUUGCAACCCUUUUGUUUCCUCAUAAAAUACCAUUCAGUAUUUUAUCUAUCAACACCUGUGUCAGAAUGAUGUCAUCUGCACAGCCAUUAUAUUUAUUAUUGUAAUUACAAACCAUCAAGUAGUUAUUCUGAGUUGUAAUAGAAUGCGUGUUAAUAUGGCCACUUCUUAAUAUUAAUAUAUAAUUAUAUAUUUAGUUAGUAUUUAUUCCUCCAUUAUGACUAACUCUCACUUAACAACAUGCGAUCAUGCUUAUAAAUUGAAAAAAAUGUUUUGUAAGACUGAUGUCUGGAAAAAAACUUUUCUUAUAUGGAAUUCACAAGUUUGUAGAAUAGUCUACCAUCUGAAAUAGUGUUCAACAUCUGUCACGACAUUAAAAAAACAUCUAGAUGCAUCUUGGGUUCAUCAAAUGUACAAUUGCAAAAUGCUGAUGCACCGUUAAACUGAAGGUGGUAACAAAGUUUACAAAAUUUGCUAUGGCUGAAUUUUUCAAUGAAAAAACAAUAUGUGUGCUAUGAAUGUAAUCUGUUUUUCAUAGUGUAUCAAUGAAAGUUUGAUGUAUUGGCCAAAUCACUUGCAAGCAUCUUGCUAUUAAACUGCCAUACGUAAAGUCAUGCUUUUUAAAGUAACUGAAAGCAGCUGAAAAUAAGAAUAUUUUGAUGAACUUUCUUACUUCGGUUCGAGGAGAAGAGAAACAACUUACAGUGGCAAUAUUAAUACAGCUAAUGGCCAAAGAAGUAUGUUUUUCAUACUCAGUGUAUGGAAUGAAACAAAAACGUCCUGCAAGGUCGUUAUAGGUAAAGCACAAUAUUUGUAUUCUACAUCCCAUUUCCUUUUAAUAAAUAAAUAUUUUAAUAAAAGCUAAUUACUUUACAAUAUUUAUACGUGAAAAGUUAUAUAUUUCAAAAUUAUAUUGUGAUGAUAUUUAAA